ACCAAUAUGGUGUAGUGGUUUGAGUGUUGGACUACGACUCUGGAGAUCAGGGUUCAAAUCCCUGCUUGGCCA
rnacentral:tRNA from 1 species